CCCAGGCAGGGCCGAGGGAGCUGGUUGUUUGGGGCUCUGAGCCUGAAGGGAGAGGUUAAGGAUGGAUGACAGCCGCUGUCAGACCCCAGAAAGCCGCUUCUCCAACUCCUCUGGGACGCGGCUGCAGCAAACUGCGCUGCAGGUCAGCUGGCUGCAGGACUGACUGCUCCUUCCUGGGCUUCGAAACCACUUCAGAUGUAUGUCUCCUCUGGGCAUCCCCGAGCAAACUCCCACCUCCAGAGCCGCUUCGGCUGGUCCUUCCUCCAGAAGGGACCUCGGGAGCCAGGUGUGUUUGUGUCAAGGGGAGGGCAGCGGGAGUGGCGGGUACCAAGAACUGAGAGCACCUGGAAGGUCCCAGACUUCGGAUGUCACACCUGGAAUUAAUGACCCCCAGCUCUGUUACUUCCGGAUCUCCCCAUUUUGUCAUCGUAGAACGGCGGCACCUGGCACACGUGGGAUCCAAGGGUCGGCCCAUCUCCGGAUCUUUGGGAGACCAGCAGGAAACGGCAGUUCUUAGAGGCUGUCAUCUGAUACACAUCGAGGAGGUGGCGGGGGCAGAAGCCGACCCUGGGUGAGCCUGGCAGGGAGGGCUGUGACCAGGGGUAUCCCUGGGCUCCCGGCAGCACACCACACCCUGCCUAGAGGCUGGCACGCCUCGGCGCCCCCUAGUGGCCACAUCUGGGGAGAAGCCCGUUUCUCCCUGGACCUCCUGCGCAAGUUUGCUCAACCGACUGGCUUGGCUUCCGCAAACCUCAGCAAUGCUUCCAGCCACUAGGAGUGAAGAGUCUGGAGGACCCCCACCUCGUUGAGGGCGUCAGGGGAGGCUUCUGGGAGGAGGCGAUGUUUGUGCUGAGAGUUGUGGCAUGCAGGAUCUAGUUCCCUGAUCAGGGAUGGAAUUUGGGCCCCCUGCAUUGGGAGAGCGGAGUUUUAACCACUGGACCACCAGGGAAGUCCCCAUACCAAACUCUUUUGUGAGCUAUGUCAACUAGUUUCACUGUGGGCUAAUGGUUUCAAGCCCACCUGUUGAAGGCAGUGUGUCCCUCUGUGAGUGGCUGAGGGUCCACCAUGGAUGGCCGGGCAUCUGGCUGUGGCUGACUCAGGCCCCAGAAAGAGCAGGGCAUAUAUAAGUGGUCCCUGAUCUGUGGGAAAACCUCAUCAGCCAGGUAGGUUCGUCCUGCUCUUCUGAGGGGCUGAGCUUGAUGCUCUCCCAUCAGCCCUGUUCUUGGAGGGUCGGGCAGACGCUGUGCUGUAGGACUCAGCGUCCCGGGGAGGAAGGGUGACCCUGCUCUGAUUCCACUGCCCCCAGAAUGGUAGAAGCUUGCCCAGUGUUGGUGCCUUGGCAACUUGAGGUGAGUUGGGGGGGGCGUAGAGGGCAGGGGGUAGGAGAACUUGUCCCUCACAACUCUCCCUGUCCCUCUUGCUUGCCCUGGGUCUGCUCCUCUCACACCCCCAGCCCAUCGGUCCGCAUGGAUCAAGUGGACACCUCAGAGGUCGGGGAGCUUGGGGAUGGAGCCACAUGGGUGGGAGAAGAAUCCUGACCCCAGGGGGGACUGGGAUGGAGGGGAGGAGUCUUCUGUGGGGCUGAAGAAGGUCCCUUCCCAGUACCAUUCCUGUGGAAUCCUCAAAAGAAUGUGGGUCUCCUUCUCUAUAUAUGUAUAACGGAAUCACUUUGCUGUACACCUGAAACUAACACAACAUUGUAUAUCAGCUAUAUUUCAAUAAAAAAUUUUUAAAAAAGAA